GAGUCCGGCAUCUCGCGGGACCUUAAAGACGGCAGCGGCAAGGCUGCGCGGCAGCUGAAACCCAUCCUUUGGCCGGGCGAGAUGUUGUCCCCGCCGAGAGGCUGGACGCCGUCGCAGAACGGGCGGGUGCUCAGGGUCGCCGUGCCGGUGAAGCACGGGUUCAAGCAGUUCGUGGACGUCGUCAUCAUCUCCGAGAACUCGACGACGCCGAAGAUCACCGGGUACUGCAUCGACGUGUUCAACGAGGUGAUGAAGAACCUGUCCUACCCGGUGAGCUACCAGUACGUGCCGUUCCCCGACAGCCCGGACUCGUACGAGAUGCUGGUGGACCAGGUGAGUGGGAAGAAGGCGGACAUCGUGGUCGGGGACGUGACGAUCACGGCGAGCAGGAUGGAGGAGGUGGACUUCACGAUGCCGUUCACGGAGUCCGGAUGGGCCAUGGUGGUGGCGACGGAGCCGGACACGAGCGGCAGCAUGUGGAUCUUCCUGCAGCCGCUCACCACCAGCCUUUGGCUCGCCAGCCUUGCCUUCUUCUGCUUCACCGGCUUUGUCGUGUGGGUCAUCGAGCACUGCGUCAACCCGGAGUUCCGCGGCACGCCGUCGCAGCAGUUCGGCCUCAUCUUCUACUUCGCCUUCUCUACCCUCGUCUUCUCACACAAAGAGAAGCUGGAGAGCAACCUGUCGAGGUUCGUGGUGAUCAUAUGGGUGUUCGUGGUGCUGAUCUUGACAUCGAGCUACACAGCGAGCCUGACGUCGAUGCUGACGGUGCAACAGCUCCGACCGAUAGUGACAGACGUGAAGGAGCUCCAGAGGCGCGGUCAGUACGUCGGGUACCAGGAGGGCACCUUCAUCAAGCCAAGGCUCAAGAAGAUGGGCUUCGACGAGCGAAAGAUGAGAAAGUACAGCUCGGAGGAGCAGCAUGCCGACGCGCUGUCCAAGGGCUCGGCUAACGGCGGCGUGGACGCGGUGUUUGAUGAAAUCCCGUACCUGAAGUUGUUCCUGUCGCAGCACUGCGACGGGUACAUGCAGGUGGGGCCUGUGUACAAGACAGACGGCUUCGGGUUCGUCUUCCCAAGGGGGUCGCCCAUGACAGGGGAUGUGUCGCGGGGGAUCCUGAACCUGGCUGAAGGGGACACGAUGGCGCAGAUCGAGAAGGCGUGGUUCGGCGAGCCCGGCACUUGCCAGAAUGCGCUGGGCGGCAUCGGCAGCGUCGGCGGCUCGUCAAACCUCAGUUUCUGGAGCUUCGGCGGGCUAUUCCUCAUCACCGGCGUCGUCUCCAGCCUCAUGCUGCUGCUCUACCUCGCCAUCUUCGCCUACCGUGAGCGCGAGGAGCUCCGGGAGGCCGAGGGGAGGGCUGAGGUUGAGGCCGGCUCCGGGAGCGUGUCGGUGCGGAGGCUGCGCGCGUGGCUGCAGCACUUCGAUAGGAAGGACCUCAAGUCACCCACCUUCAAGGUGUGGAACGACGAGUCCGUAAGAAACGGCAGUGACUUUGCGGGUAGGACGCCAAGAUGGAAUGGCAGCGCUCGUGACGCUAGUAUGACGCCGAGGGCCAGUGGGGAGGAACACGCAAUGGAAGGGACGACCCCGCUGAGCGUGCACAUCAGCUCCGAGAUGAACGCCGGCUCUUCGACGGAGAGGACACCAGUGUCGGAGAUCAGUGAGUCAUUCGAGAAGAGGAUCGAGGGGGCAACAACCGCUAUAUGGAGGUGA
rnacentral:rRNA from 1 species